rnacentral:tRNA from 1 species
AUUAGAAGUAUUUUAUUGAAUUCCUAUGCAUGCACAAUUUAUGUUAUAUGAGCCCGCUUAGCUCAGAGGUUAGAG